rnacentral:rRNA from 1 species
AGCGAACGCUGGCGGCAGGCCUAACACAUGCAAGUCGAGCGAAGCCUUCGGGCUUAGCGGCGGACGGGUGAGUAACGCGUGGGAACGUGCCCUUUGCUACGGAAUAGCCCCGGGAAACUGGGAGUAAUACCGUAUGUGCCCUUCGGGGGAAAGAUUUAUCGGCAAAGGAUCGGCCCGCGUUGGAUUAGGUAGUUGGUGGGGUAAUGGCCUACCAAGCCGACGAUCCAUAGCUGGUUUGAGAGGAUGAUCAGCCACACUGGGACUGAGACACGGCCCAGACUCCUACGGGAGGCAGCAGUGGGGAAUCUUAGACAAUGGGGGAAACCCUGAUCUAGCCAUGCCGCGUGAUCGAUGAAGGCCUUAGGGUUGUAAAGAUCUUUCAGUGGGGAAGAUAAUGACUGUACCCACAGAAGAAGCCCCGGCUAACUCCGUGCCAGCCGCCGCAGUAACAC